GUGGGUGUUCUUCAGCCAGGUACAUAACUGGAUGGUGGAAGCGUGAUGCUCCUGGUUCUAGAGUUCUCGUUUUGUGCAAUGGAGGUUAAAAAGGGCAGUAUGUCAGGUGCCUCUGCUCUAGCAGGUCAAGAAGACUGGGCAGAACACCUUCUAUCUCACUUUUUCCCAAGAUCUCUCAGAGCAACAACUGAACGCUUGUCAGGCAGCUUCCAAAAGCAGGACUCAACCUUUGGGAUCUGAAACGUUGGGGCCUGACCCAGGGCAGUUAAUUGCUGCCAGUGAACGAGGAGGGCAGAGAAGAAGCUGUGGGAAUUGGCUUUGUGGAUUGCAGCCCAGAGGCAGAUCUCAGAUGGUUGUGUCUGUGCACCAAGGGCAGCUGUGAGGAAAAGCCCUGCUCCACAAAGCACCCUGUGUUUCCUGGCAUGCCAAUCUCUCCAGCUCCCAGGGAACAGCUACAAGCAGAAGAACAGCCAGGCAUGCCUCCUUGCAAGCCUCAGGUACAAGGAGGAAGAUUCAACAAUGCAGUUGGAAUGGCUUAUGCCCUCCCUGGGCAUCCAUUUCUUCAGAUUCUGGUGGAAAAACCCCAUUCCCAGUUUGACUUAGGUUGAAGCCUCCUAGGUAAGAAAGGGCUGACUCAC